rnacentral:RNase_P_RNA from 1 species
GGUAGCAGUGGUAUUUGGCUGACGCUGGUUCGCAAGAGCUGGUGAGGAAAGUCCGCCCUCAACUUACGGAUUACUCUGCAUCGACAGAGAGGGAGAAAUUCCUGGUUUAAGGCGAAGAAACAGCACGUCCUGAGAACAAGGAGGAAAUGGCGAAGUUCUCCGCGAGGAGAGCGAGUUAACCCAUGGACAUGCCAAACUUGGUUUGGCACUAGAAACGAACAAAAGGAAACUUUUGGUAGUGACUAUGUUUUUUUCAGGGAACGUUGAAAGGCCCACUUAAUCCGAGCAAGUAGAACACCUACGCUUAGUAGAAUGCCAAACUCGUGAUUCGGUUAGUCUAUCUAACCAUCAAAGACACGAAACAAAAGGCGGCUUAUGCCACUCUACC